AGUGCAGUCAUAAACAGGUUCUCAGCAGACUUGGAAGGCGGCACUAUCUACGUUUCCCUGUUUCCAUGCAACCAGUGUGCCAAGAUCAUCAUCCAGUCCGGCAUCAAGGAAGUUGUCUACUACUCCGACAAGAAAAAUGACAAGGAGGAAGUAGAAGCCGCGAAGAUAUUGUUUGAAGAGGCUCGUGUCAAAACUAGACAGUAUGACCGGAAUAAACGCACGAAAGUUGAGGUGGAUUUCGAGUCCAUUGAAAAAGAGCCUCAGCCCC